rnacentral:rRNA from 1 species
UACGUAGGGUGCAAGCGUUGUUCGGAAUUACUGGGCGUAAAGGGCUCGUAGGCGGCCAACUAAGUCGGACGUGAAAUCCCUCGGCUUAACCGGGGAACUGCGUCCGAUACUGGAUGGCUUGAGUUCGGGAGAGGGAUGCGGAAUUCCAGGUGUAGCGGUGAAAUGCGUAGAUAUCUGGAGGAACACCGGUGGCGAAGGCGGCAUCCUGGACCGACACUGACGCUGAGGAGCGAAAGCCAGGGGAGCAAACGGG